rnacentral:rRNA from 1 species
GACAGAGGUCCCAAGCGUUAGGCGGAAUCACUGGGCUUAAAGCGUGUGUAGGCGGAUGCCUAAGUACCUUGUGAAAUCCCACGGCUCACCCGUGGAACUGCUUGGUAUACUGGGUGUCUUGAGCCACUUAGGGGCUACCGGAACAAAUGGUGGAGCGGUGAAAUGCGUAGAUAUCAUUUGGAACGCCAACGGUGAAAACAGGUAGCUGGGAGUGUGCUGACGCUGAGACACGAAGCCAGGGGAGCAAACGGG